UUACGGUCAAAUCACGCUGAAACACCGGUUCUCGUACGAUCACCAAAGUUAGAUGGCCAGGUCAGUACUUAGAUGGGGGACCGCUUGGGAACACCUGGUACUGUAAG